rnacentral:rRNA from 1 species
GCUGGUGGUGAUGCGCUUAGGGGGCACACCCGUUCCCAUCCCGAACACGAUGGUUAAGACCUAAGCGGCCGAUGGUACUGCACUGGAGACGGUGUGGGAGAGUAGGUGGCUGCCGGCU